CUAUGGAGUUAAGUAAAGAAAGUUAUGCAAAAUAGGAAGCCUCCUGUCAUGUGAUAAAAUUAAAAGCAGCUCACUUAGUGCAGUUGGGACUGUGUACAUACAGUUGAUAAGGAAGUCUUUUUCUUGCAAGAGGACGUGUGGCUAAGGAGGUGGGCUUAUGGUGCAAAAUUGUGCAAAAUCCAUCAAGAGUUAAGCUUGCAAAAAGGAAAGGAC